rnacentral:rRNA from 1 species
UACGUAGGGGGCAAGCGUUGUCCGGAUUUACUGGGCGUAAAGAGCGUGUAGGCGGCCAAGCAGGUCCGUUGUGAAAACUGGAGGCUUAACCUCCAGACGUCGACGGAAACCGCGUGGCUAGAGUCCGGAAGAGGAGAGUGGAAUUCCUGGUGUAGCGGUGAAAUGCGCAGAUAUCAGGAAGAACACCAAUGGCGAAAGCAGCUCUCUGGGACGGUACUGACGCUGAGACGCGAAAGCGUGGGGAGCGAACAGG